UGGCGAACGGGUGAGUAACGCGUGAGGAACCUGCCUCAAAGAGGGGGACAACAGUUGGAAACGACUGCUAAUACCGCAUAAGCCCACGACCCGGCAUCGGGAAGAGGGAAAAGGAGCAAUCCGCUUUGAGAUGGCCUCACGUCCGAUUAGCUAGUUGGUGAGGUAACGGCCCACCAAGGCGACGAUCGGUAGCCGGACUGAGAGGUUGAACGGCCACAUUGGGACUGAGACACGGCCCAG
rnacentral:rRNA from 1 species